rnacentral:rRNA from 1 species
CCUACGGGUGGCAGCAGUGGGGGAUAUUGCACAAUGGGGGGAACCCUGAUGCAGCGACGCCGCGUGGGUGAAGAAGCGCCUCGGCGCGUAAAGCCCUGUCAGCAGGGAAGAAAAUGACGGUACCUGAAGAAGAAGCCCCGGGUAACUACGUGCCAGCAGCCGCGGGCAUCCGUAGGGGGCAAGCGUUAACCGGAUUUAUGGGGUGUAAAGCGGGCGCCGACGGGGAUGCAGGCCCGGAGUGAAAGCCCGGGGCCCAACCCCGGGACUGCUCUUGGAACUGGGUGGCUGGAGUGCAGGAGGGGCAGGCGGAAUGCCUGGUGUAGCGGUGAAAUGCGUAGAUAUCAGGAGGAACACCGGUGGCGAAGGCGGCCUGCUGGACUGCAACUGACGUUGAGGCCCGAAAGCGUGGGGAGCAAACAGGAUUAGAUACCCCAGUAGUC